rnacentral:lncRNA from 1 species
AAGUGUCUAUGUGGAUGUAUCAUUUUGUGUUAGCACCAUUUCAAGUUCAAGUUCAUUUAGAAUUCAAAUAUUUGAAGAUUGGGUCGUCUUAGAAUUUCAAUAUCAUUUUGAGUUUGGAUCGUUUUGAGCUCAAGUUGUCUCUACUUUAGGUCACUUCAUGCUCAAAUUUUUUUAAAUUCAAGUCAUUUCGAGUUCAAGUGAACUCAAGCAGUUUUAAGUCAUUUUAAG